rnacentral:rRNA from 1 species
AUUGAACGCUGGCGGCAGGCCUAACACAUGCAAGUCGAGCGGAUGAAGGGAGCUUGCUCCUGGAUUCAGCUGCGGACGGGUGAGUAAUGCCUAGGAAUCUGCCUUGUCGUUGGGGAUAACGUCUGUAAACGGGCGCUAAUACCGCAUACGUCCUUAGGUAGAACGUGGGGGAUCUUCGGACCUCACGCUAUCAGAUGAGCCUAGGUCGGAUUAGCUAGUUGGUGUGGUAAAGGCCUACCAAGGCGACGAUCCGUAACUGGUCUGAGAGGAUGAUCAGUCACACUGGAACUGAGACACGGUCCAGACUCCUACGGGAGGCAGCAGUGGGGAAUAUUGGACAAUGGGCGAAAGCCUGAUCCAGCCAUGCCGCGUGUGUGAAGAAGGUCUUCGGAUUGUAAAGCACUGUAAGUUGGGAAGAAGAGAAGUAAGUUAAUACCUGGAUGUUUUGACGGUACCAACAGAAUAAGCAACGGCUAACUUCGUG